CUUCGUUGGUGGCGUCAAUCUCAAUCAAGGGUUGAGUGGUAACGCAUGCCUGUCAUCUGACACUGCAAAUUCCCGAGGCCCGCCGAAAGUAGCGGGCUUUUUUAU
rfam:Serratia sp. DD3 SRDD_contig000071, whole genome shotgun sequence.